CCAUAGUUACCGCAUGGUAACUAUGUAAAAGGUGGCUAUACUACCGCUUUUGGAUGGGCCCGCGGCGCAUUAGCUAGUUGGUAGGGUAAAGGCUUACCAAGGCAAUGAUGCGUAGCCGAAUUGAGAGGUUGAUCGGCCACAUUGGGACUGAGACACGGCCCAAACUCCUACGGGAGGCAGCAGUAGGGAAUCUUCCACAAUGGGCGAAAGCCUGAUGGAGCAACGCCGCGUGGGUGAAGAAGGUCUUCGGAUCGUAAAACCCUGUUGUUAGAGAAGAAAGUGCGUGAGAGUAACUGUUCACGUUUCGACGGUAUCUAACCAGAAAGCCACGGCUAACUACGUGCCAGCAGCCGCGGUAAUACGUAGGUGGCAAGCGUUAUCCGGAUUUAUUGGGCGUAAAGGGAACGCAGGCGGUCUUUUAAGUCUGAUGUGAAAGCCUUCGGCUUAACCGGAGUAGUGCAUUGGAAACUGGGAGACUUGAGUGCAGAAGAGGAGAGUGGAACUCCAUGUGUAGCGGUGAAAUGCGUAGAUAUAUGGAAGAACACCAGUGGCGAAAGCGGCUCUCUGGUCUGUAACUGACGCUGAGGUUCGAAAGCGUGGGUAGCAAACAGGAUUAGAUACCCUGGUAGUCCACGCCGUAAACGAUGAAUGAUAGGUGUUGGA
rnacentral:rRNA from 1 species